CAAAUGUACUAAAAGAUUAAAGAAAAGAGGAAACCUCACAAGGCAAACUUUGCACCACCUUAGUGCUCACAUGGCCAUUUAACCAGUUAAACUGAAUAUGGGCAAUAAUCUGGUUUCCAGAAAGUAUCCAUCCACUAAAACGUGCACCCUUAAUAAUGCUCUGGGUGGGCUUUGUGGCAGUGCCUAUAAGUGGCUUUCAGAAUAUUUCUUUUAGCAGCAAAAGCUCUUUAAAUUUUGAUUUUACACAGAUCCUCAAAAUAGAACAUAGAAAAAAGCAGUAUUCAUCUUUUUUUUUAGUUCAAAUCUAUAUCACUAACAAAAGAAUGAAGCUAUUUUUAUAAAUAGAAAUAUUUGAAAUCAGAGCUUAAGAUCGAGUUGUGGCAACCAAUUUGUCUCCAUAUUUUGGUUGGUUGUGCAGAAAAAUCCAAAAUUACAUGGAAAAGUCAUUGUAUAUAACAGGUCUGUCUGCUUGUUUUUGACAUGUUGAGUCAACAAGCUCUUGACAGUCUUCAAUAAAAUAGGUCCAGGGGGCUGAAUGAGGAGCAGCAGAACUUGAUUUAUUAACAAUAUUUAAAAUUUGCUCACAUUUCUUAUUUCUUUUUUUAAAAAAAGUAAGAAAGUUAAAUAACAAGCACCUAAAACUUACAAGAAAAUCAGUGACAUAAUAAUAU
rnacentral:lncRNA from 1 species